rnacentral:tRNA from 1 species
GGGGUUAUGGCUCAGUGGUAGAGUGCUUGCCUGUCACGCAUGAGGCACUGAGUCCCAUCCCCA